rnacentral:rRNA from 1 species
UACGUAGGGUGCGAGCGUUGUCCGGAAUUACUGGGCGUAAAGAGCUCGUAGGUGGUUUGUCGCGUUGUUCGUGAAAACCGGGGGCUUAACCCUCGGCGUGCGGGCGAUACGGGCAGACUUGAGUACUGCAGGGGAGACUGGAAUUCCUGGUGUAGCGGUGAAAUGCGCAGAUAUCAGGAGGAACACCGGUGGCGAAGGCGGGUCUCUGGGCCGAAACUGACGCUGAGGAGCGAAAAGCGUGGGGGAGCAAACAGG